GACGAACGCUGGCGGCGUGCCUAAUACAUGCAAGUUGAGCGAUGAAGAUUGGUGCUUGCACCAAUUUGAAGAGCAGCGAACGGGUGAGUAACGCGUGGGGAAUCUGCCUUUGAGCGGGGGACAACAUUUGGAAACGAAUGCUAGUACCGCAUAAUAACUUUAAGCAUAAGUUUUAAGUUUGAAAGAUGCAAUUGCAUCACUCAAAGAUGAUCCCGCGUUGUAUUAGCUAGUUGGUGAGGUAAAGGCUCACCAAGGCGAUGAUACAUAGCCGACCUGAGAGGGUGAUCGGCCACAUUGGGACUGAGACACGGCCCAAACUCCUACGGGAGGCAGCAGUAGGGAAUCUUCGGCAAUGGACGAAAGUCUGACCGAGCAACGCCGCGUGAGUGAAGAAGGUUUUCGGAUCGUAAAACUCUGUUGGUAGAGAAGAACGUUGGUGAGAGUGGAAAGCUCAUCAAGUGACGGUAACUACCCAGAAAGGGACGGCUAACUACGUG
rnacentral:rRNA from 1 species